CCUGAUCCGGAGCCGAGCUCUGCCAGCGGAUCAGGUGCACGAGUCAUAACUGGCAGAGGCGGGGGAACCACAAGCGGCAGCCGGGGGACUGCCUUGGGGUGAAGUCCGUCAGCAGCAAGCCUCUUCCAGCGAAGGAUCCCUCGGGGAUAUCUCUGUGCCGAGCUUGCUUACGGCGGACCGGGUCUUUGAACUCUCUGACCCGAAUCCGACAGCUAACUUCGCAGGCUUUCCAGAGAGGAACC
rnacentral:sRNA from 2 species